rnacentral:rRNA from 1 species
GAUGAACGCUAGCUAUAGGCAUAACACAUGCAAGUCGAGGGACCGGCGCACGGGUGAGUAACGAGUAUCCAACCUACACAUAACUAAGGGAUAACCCAGCGAAAGGUGGACUAAUACCUUAUGGUUAUGGAUGGGGAUGCGUCUGAUUAGCUUGUUGGCGGGGUCACGGCCCACCAAGGCAACGAUCAGUAGGGGUUCUGAGAGGCAGGUCCCCCACAUUGGAACUGUGACACCGUCCAAACUCCUACCGUAGGGAUCAGUGUGGUAUAUCGGACAAUGGACGUGAGUCUGAACCAGCCACGUAUCGUUGAGGAUGACGUCCUCUGGGUUGUAAGCUGCUUUUAUAUGGGGAUAGGUACCAUAUUAAUAAGCACCGGCUAAUUCCGUGCCAGCAGCCGCGGUAAUAC